rnacentral:rRNA from 1 species
UACGUAGGGGGCAAGCGUUGUCCGGAUUUAUUGGGCGUAAAGAGCGUGUAGGCGGUUAGGUAGGUCCGUUGUGAAAACUCGAGGCUCAACCUCGAGACGCCGAUGGAAACCAUCUAACUAGAGUCCGGAAGAGGAGAGUGGAAUUCCUGGUGUAGCGGUGAAAUGCGCAGAUAUUCGCAAGAACACCAGUGGCGAAGGCGGCUCACUGGCCCGAUACCUGACGCUGAGGCACGAAAGCGUGGGGAGCAAACAGGG